rnacentral:rRNA from 1 species
GACGAACGCUGGCGGCGUGCCUAAUACAUGCAAGUUGAGCGCUGAAGGUUGGUACUUGUACCGACUGGAUGAGCAGCGAACGGGUGAGUAACGCGUGGGGAAUCUGCCUUUGAGCGGGGGACAACAUUUGGAAACGAAUGCUAAUACCGCAUAAAAACUUUAAACACAAGUUUUAAGUUUGAAAGAUGCAAUUGCAUCACUCAAAGAUGAUCCCGCGUUGUAUUAGCUAGUUGGUGAGGUAAAGGCUCACCAAGGCGAUGAUACAUAGCCGACCUGAGAGGGUGAUCGGCCACAUUGGGACUGAGACACGGCCCAAACUCCUACGGGAGGCAGCAGUAGGGAAUCUUCGGCAAUGGACGAAAGUCUGACCGAGCAACGCCGCGGGAGUGAAGAAGGGUUUCGGAUCGUAAAACUCGGUUGGUAGAGAAGAACGUUGGUGAGAGUGGAAAGCUCAUAAAGUGACGGUAACUACCCAGAAAGGGACGGCUAACUACGUG